rnacentral:rRNA from 1 species
ACGAACGCUGGCGGCGUGCUUAACACAUGCCAGUCGAACGGAAAGGCCUUUUCGGAGGUACUCGAGUGGCGAACGGGUGAGUAACACGUGGGUGAUCUGCCCUGCACUCUGGGAUAAGCCUGGGAAACUGGGUCUAAUACCGGAUAGGACCGCACUUUAGUGUGUGUGGUGGAAAGUUUUUUCGGUGUAGGAUGAGCCCGCGGCCUAUCAGCUUGUUGGUGGGGUAAUGGCCUACCAAGGCGGCGACGGGUAGCCGGACUGAGAGGUUGGUCGGCCACAUUGGGAAUGGGAAACGGCACAGACCACAAGGGGGGGAAGAGGGGGGGAAAAUGGAAAAAGGGGGGAAGGCGUGAGGAGGCGAGGCGGGGGGGGGAAGGAGGGCCUUGGGGUUGAAAAAUCCUUUGGCCGGGAAGGAGGCGUUUGGGAAGGGAACGGGAAGAAGAAGAACGGGUAAACACCG